CAUAAUUAAGCCAUAAAUUUCCAAUGUCGUUAUAUUUUAGGACGAGAUGUAGUGAAGCCAUGUUACUUCCCAAUUUACAUUUGGCAAAAAAAUUUUUUUCUCUCUCUUCUUGCAAAAGCCUCUUUACGCGUGCAAUUAUUGUAGCAUGCAAGUGACUAUUUUUUUAGCAGCCUUCUAAGAUAGGAAAACUGUUUCCAAUAAGACAAACCUUCUUGCAGACUGUUGUUGUCGUUUAUUGAAGGGAUUUCCCCUCCCCCUUUUGUAUAUUUAUAUAUUUUAUUUUAUUUAUAAAUUUAUUUUAUUCAUUAUUAAACGUAUAAUAACGUCAAAAAAUUUUAUGUGUCAUGAGUGAUAAUGUCUUCGCUUUAAGAAUCGGUAGCUUAAUGACAUCCGUAUUGGAAAGAUCUCGCUUCUUGUUUAGCUUAGCUAUACGACCGCUAUAGACGUUGCCGCUUGACGCUAAUUGCCGAGAUUCGCAUCAUUCUUUUGAGCUUCACUUUACUAACCGAAUACGGGUGAUCAUCCACUCAAAAUAUUAAAUAAAUAAGAAAUAAAAAAAAAGUGUUACUUAAAAAAGAGUGUGUUUGGAGGAAGUGUUAGCAAGUUUUGAUAGUAGGAGUAGAAAAAAAAAUUUUCAGCGCCUCGUCUCCUUAAAAAAUUUACACACCUUUCUAAUGAAUGUUAUUGAGGCAAAGUCUUGAAUUUUGAUUUCCAUUUCAUCAAUGAUUAGCGUACCGAGUUUUUGCUGUCGUAUAAACGGCCAUUGAUUUGCUAAUGUCACCUUUUUCACAUAACGAAACGGAUUUCUGUCAUACUGUCACAAAUUUUUCAAUUGGCAUGAUAACGGUAAAUAGACCAAAAUCUAGGAUUCGCGAAUGUUCAAACGCGAUUAUUAGGGAAUGGAAUUUUAUUCGAUAUCUCACCUGAGUCACUGUUAUUGUCACAAGUGAAGCCAGCCAUUUCUUGAAUCUGAUUGAGGAGAAAGUGAGGUAAGAUGGGAUGGAGUGUUGAUGACUUGGAAGGAAGGUCCCUUACAAAUGAUUAUUUGUUCUUUUACAGGCAAACUAGUUAUCCCGAGCUACACUGUCCUAACGUUAUCCGCAAUUCAUUCUUACAAAGCUAAGGGAAACGGGGGCAAAGACUGAGUAAGGCGGCAGCGCACUUGCAAGUUUCGCAGGUACUUUAGCUAUCCCCACCUCCCCUGAUGUUGGCAGUGACUCGGAUAUUCUAGGCCUGCUUAGAAAGUGGUCAUUUUCAGAUUUCAGAUUCAAUACGCUUGCUCUUUUUGACACAUAAGUUACUUCAAGUACCAAUCGUCUGGCGAAUAUCAUAUGGUAUAUAGAAAAUCGACCUUAAUUUCAUAAACUUUCGGCUUUUCCCACCCUUAUCGAAGCUAGCUUGUGAAGGAGCCAAUUAUAUUGUAUUUCUCUCCUGGUUCACGCCUUAUGAUUUAUCAUUUUUCUAAAUUGGUAGUGUAGUUAUUUAAUAUAUUUUUUGAUAUAUAUAAGCUGGGUUGAGGAAACAAGCUUCGCUCUCAAAAUUUGGUGAGCAAAGCAAAGCCAAGCCAAGCCAAGCAGAAUAGAGCAGAAACGAGACGGGGCAAAAAGCAAAAGUUGCUUGGAGCAUAAG